rnacentral:rRNA from 1 species
GCCUACACAUGCAAGUCGAGCGGCAGCGGGAAGUAGUUUACUACUUUGCCGGCGAGCGCGCGUACGGGUGAGUAAUGUCUGGGAAACUGCCUGAUGGAGGGGGAUAACUACUGGAAACGGUAGCUAAUACCGCAUGACCUCGCAAGAGCAAAGUGGGGGACCUUCGGGCCUCACGCCAUCGGAUGUGCCCAGAUGGGAUUAGCUAGUAGGUGGGGUAAUGGCUCACCUAGGCGACGAUCCCUAGCUGGUCUGAGAGGAUGACCAGCCACACUGGAACUGAGACACGGUCCAGACUCCUACGGGAGGCAGCAGUGGGGAAUAUUGCACAAUGGGCGCAAGCCUGAUGCAGCCAUGCCGCGUGUGUGAAGAAGGCCUUCGGGUUGUAAAGCACUUUCAGCGAGGAGGAAGGCAGUCGUGUUAAUAGCACGAUUGAUUGACGUUACUCGCAGAGGAAGCACCGGCUAACUCCGUGCCAGCAGCCGCGGUAAUACGAAGGGUGCAAGCGUUACUCGGAAUUACUGGGCGUAAAGCGUGCGUAGGUGGUUUGUUAAGUCAGAUGUGAAAGCCCCGGGCUCAACCUGGGAAUUGCAUUUGAUACUGGCAGACUAGAGUGCGGUAGAGGAGAGUGGAAUUCCCGGUGUAGCAGUGAAAUGCGUAGAGAUCGGGAGGAACAUCAGUUGCGAAGGCGACUCUCUGGACCAGCACUGACACUGAGGCACGAAAGCGUGGGGAGCAAACAGGAUUAGAUACCCUGGUAGUCCACGCCCUAAACGAUGCGAACUGGACGUUGGGAUCAAUUGAGAUUUCAGUGUCGAAGCUAACGCGUUAAGUUCGCCGCCUGGGGAGUACGGUCGCAAGACUGAAACUCAAAGGAAUUGACGGGGGCCCGCACAAGCGGUGGAGUAUGUGGUUUAUUCGAUGCAUCGCGCAGAACCUACCUGGGUCUGACAUGUC